GUAGGGUGCGAGCGUUAUCCGGAAUCAUUGGGCGUAAAGAGCUCGUAGGCGGUUCAGCAAGUCGGCUGUGAAAUUCCGAGGCUCAACCUCGGAACUGCAGUCGAUACUGCUGUGACUCGAGUCCGGUAGAGGAGAAUGGAAUUCCCGGUGUAGCGGUGAAAUGCGCAGAUAUCGGGAGGAACACCAGUAGCGAAGGCGGUUCUCUGGGCCGGCACUGACGCUGAGGAGCGAAAGCGUGGGUAGCAAACAGGAUUAGAUACCCUGGUAGUCCCACGCCCGUAAACGUUGGAUACUAGGUGUGGCGCUCCGACCAACGGUCGCCGUGCCGAAGCUAACGCAUUAAGUAUCCCCGCCUGGGGAGUACGGCCGCAAGGCUA
rnacentral:rRNA from 1 species